UUAAAUAUUUUCUUAUUAUUUUUGUUUAUUUUUUAUUAUUUAAUUGAAGUAUCUUUUUUAUUUAGUAUUGGUAUUGAAAUAUUUCUUUAAAUUAUAGUUUAUUUUACUGUAAAGGUUAUUAAUAUUUUAAAUAAAAGUAUAAUUUUUUUAGUACCUUUUGUAUCAGGGUUUAUUAAUUUAUUUUAUUUAUUUAAUUAUCCCGAAAUUAAGAGAUUUAAAUUUUAAUGGGGUUUACUGUUUUAUAAUUAUUCUUAAUUUGAAUUUAGAGGUUAUAUGCUAUUCAUUCUUAAAUAUCUGGUUUUUUAAUAGAUGAAUUUAAUUCAGGAUUAUAGUAGUUAUUUUUAAUUUUUAUUAAAAAUAAUUUUAUUUUCUAAUAUUGUAGGGGAUAAUCUCUGCUUAAUAAUAUUAUAUUUAUUUUUAUUAACAAUUUUUGUAGGUUUAAUAACAUCCAUCUUUAUUUCGUUAUAGUUUUUAUUGUUUUAUUUUUUAUUUAUUUUUAAUUAAUUUUUUAUUAGAAUGAUUUAUUUAAUUAUCUUUUAUUAUGUAAUAAUGAUAAAAUUAGUAGUUUUUAAUAUUAAAUAUAGGAACUCGGCAAUAUUAAUAUUCGCCUGUUUAACAAAAACAUGUCCUAUAGAUUAUUAAUUUUAGGUCUAUCCUGCUCAGUGAUUUAUUUUAAAUAGCCGCAGUAUUUUGACUGUGCAAAGGUAGCAUAAUCAUUUGUCUUUUAAUUGAAGGCUUGUAUGAAUGGUUGGACGAGAUAUUAACUUUCUUUAUUUAAUUUUUAUGAAUUUAAUUUUUUAGUGAAAAAGCUUAAAUUAUUUUGUGGGACGAGAAGACCCUAUAGAAUUUAAGAUUAAUUUAUUAUAUUUAAUUAAUUAUUUGAUUAUUUUAUAUUAUUCUUAAUUUUUGGUUGGGGUGAUUAUAAAAUUUUCUUAACUUUUAUAUUUUAUUUUCAUUGAUUAGUGUUUUUAUUGAUCCUUUAUUAAGGAUUAUUAGAUUAAAUUACCUUAGGGAUAACAGCGUAAUUCUUUUGGAGAGUUCUUAUCGAUGAAAUGAGUUUGCGACCUCGAUGUUGGAUUAAAAUUUUAGUUGGGUGGAGGUGCUUAAUUUAUGGGUCUGUUCGACCUUUAAUUUUUUACAUGAUCUGAGUUCAGGCCGGCGUAAGCCAGGUUGGUUUCUAUCUACAAAUUUUAUUUUCAUUAUUUUAGUACGAAAGGACCAUUUAGUGGUAAUAAUUAUUUAUUAUUUGAUUUAUAUUAA
rnacentral:rRNA from 1 species